UCGUACAAGGUUUCCGUAGGUGAACCUUGCGGAAGGAUCAU
rnacentral:rRNA from 1 species